rnacentral:tmRNA from 2 species
GGGGAUGUACUGGUUUUGACAGGAAUUGCUCUGUCUUUUUGUGGCCGUCACGGGGUCGCGCUGGUCCCCCGGAUUCUGUUUGAUUUCGCUUUUUGCGAGAUUUUGCAGGAGAAAUCCGUUCAGCGCAAUUUUAAGUGCAGAUUCUUCUGUAUCUGAAACUGAAUAUUCUUUCAACUUUUUGAGCGCCAUGCGCCUAGCGUCUGUUGCUUAAUCAGUUAGAAAUUCAGUUUUUGCGCCUGCCUUUUCGCGGGUCCGUCUUGAUACGCCAGGCUUCAUAACGUAUCAGGGCGUAACCUCAUGAAGCUCGAUGAUUUUGUGGUGGUAGUUGCAUGAAAUCAUUCAAAUUUAUUAAUUCCACUUGUGAAAGUUUUUUGUUCAUUUUUUACUUUCAUAAGUACCAAAAUGAACUAUGUCGGUAGAGGCGAAAGGCAACGUUUCUGGACGCGGGUUCGACUCCCGCCAUCUCCACCA